GUAGGUGAACCUGCGGAGGGAUCAUUACACAAUAUGAAAGCGGGCUGGCAUCCUUCGGGGUUACAGCCUUGCUGAAUUAUUCACCCGUGUCUUUUGCGUACUUCUUGUUUCCUUGGUGGGUUCGCCCACCAUAGGACAAACCAUAAACCUUUUGUAAUUGCAAUCAGCGUCAGAAAAAAAAAAUUAAUAAUUACAACUUUUAACAACGGAUCUCUUGGUUCUG
rnacentral:misc_RNA from 1 species